rnacentral:rRNA from 1 species
UUGACCUCGGAUCAGGUAGGAAUACCCGCUGAACUUAAGCAUAUCAAUAAGCGGAGGAAAAGAAACCAACAGGGAUUGCCCUAGUAACGGCGAGUGAAGCGGCAACAGCUCAAAUUUGAAAUCUGGCUCUCGGGCCCGAGUUGUAAUUUGUAGAGGAUGCUUUUGGCAAGGUGCCUUCCGAGUUCCCUGGAACGGGACGCCAUAGAGGGUGAGAGCCCCGUCUGGUUGGACACCGAGCCUCUGUAAAGCUCCUUCGACGAGUCGAGUAGUUUGGGAAUGCUGCUCUAAAUGGGAGGUAUAUGUCUUCUAAAGCUAAAUACUGGCCAGAGACCGAUAGCGCACAAGUAGAGUGAUCGAAAGAUGAAAAGCACUUUGAAAAGAGAGUUAAAAAGCACGUGAAAUUGUUGAAAGGGAAGCGCUUAUGACCAGACUUGGGCUUGGUUGAUCAUCCGGCGUUCUCGCCGGUGCACUCUUCCAGUUCAGGCCAGCAUCAGUUUGCCUCGGGGGAUAAAAGUAGCGGGAAUGUGGCUCCUCCGGGAGUGUUAUA